rnacentral:lncRNA from 1 species
GAGGUUAUGAUCUAGUGAUCCUCAUAACUAGCUCAUUUUAUGGACCUAAUAAUUUAGAAAUUUAAGAAUCAGUUUAGAGAAGAGAUGAAAAGAGAUCAACCAGUAAAUCACAAUCCUCCCACUGAUUUCACUAAGUCAUUGAAUUGGAUCAGGAUCAUGCUGGUUGAAAUGGCACAUAGAUCAGUCACACCGAUCAACCUUAAUGAUAUGGGUCAACUCGAAUCACUUAGUAAUUUAAUCAAGAUAUAAUUCACUAAAUUGGUCAGGUAAGUG